UGUUUCUAUGGUGACUGCAUUAUAGAAGCUGGAUUUUGAAACGAGGACAUAUCUAAUACGAGGUUUGUGGUCGUUGCUGUGCAAACACAAAAUUCGGCUGCAAAGAAAAGGCGCGUUAAAAAGAAAACUUUGAAAUCAAGGUAAAAUGGCAGCUACAGAGACUCAGUCACCUGCAGAAUUAUUAAAGACAAUUGAAGACAGUUUCCAAAGUCUUACAGAUAAUUACAAGCAAUCAGAGGAAGCAAUAAUGUCCAGGUUCACUGAAACUGGAAAGGCUUUUGAGGCUAUAGAGAAUGCGUUGCAAGACUUAAUGGAUCAUUCUGGUGUUAAUGAUCAAUACAGUGAAAUGGGAGAAACAUCUGAAGCAGAGUGACACAUACAGAUCCAGUUGAUGCUUUUGAGCUUUAACUUAUUAAAGACUUCAGAAACAAGAUGCAAUUGUUUUGAAGACAUCAAAUCUACAUAAAACUCUCUGUUACUCUUUGAAAUUUGAUUUUGUGUACAUAGUAGCAGUUUUCUACCUAUAAUUUUAAGCUUUAGGUUCUAGACCACACAUCAUUUUAUUUUCAUUAGAAACCUUUUCCUCUUUAGCUUUUAAACAAGUUAUCUUAUAAAUCCUUCAUUUCCAAUUUUCUGUAAGAACCUUAGCAAGAGAAAAAUAGUAGUUGAGAACUUAAUGAUUUAGAGAUGCAUUUUUAUUGAAGUUCAGAAAGAUUAUAGAAAGACAAGUUUAUCUAGUUAUACAUAACUUUGAAGCUUUUUUAAUAGAGAUUGCUUUGGUACACUAUUUAUGUUAUGUGUUUAUGAAAGUUAUAUUAUGUUAUCA